rnacentral:rRNA from 1 species
UACGGAGGGUGCAAGCGUUAAUCGGAAUUACUGGGCGUAAAGCGCACGCAGGCGGCUGAGUGAGUCAGAUGUGAAAUCCCCGGGCUUAACCCGGGAAGUGCAGCUGAUACUGGACAGCUAGAGUCUUGUCGGGGGGGAGGGAAUUCCAUGUGUAGCGGUGAAAUGCGUAGAGAUGUGGAGGAAUACCGGUGGCGAAGGCGGCCCGCUGGACAAAGACUGACACUCAGGUGCGAAAGCGUGGGGAGCAAACGGG